AGGAAAUGACCUCGUUUUUGAUGGCUGCUGCUAACUUAUGGUGAGAUGCUGGGUCCCUGUCCAAUACCACAUGGACAUCCAAUCAAUUUACCCAGGGACAAGUCCACUCAAGAGCAUCAUUUAGAAGAGGGAAAGGCAUUGGGGUUGUUUUUGGAGUAUGUGCUUAAGGAAAUCUAGAGUAUUCCCACAAGCAUUCUGCUGAGAUGAACAAUCAGAUGCCCUCGUGUGAGAUUUGGAGGGCAGAAGGAAAUGGAGAGCACGUUUCUGCCGCUUCUGUGGUUUCUGUCGCAACCUUCGCGGGACUCAUUGCUGCUGGAGGCAUCAUGAAUAUUCUAGGGCUGCAAUGCCCUGCAAAAAAGCCAUCAGCACUGGCAACUCUGACCCUCUUCUCUGUGGUUAGAUGGGAGCCAGGGCCAAGGGACAUGCAAGG
rnacentral:antisense_RNA from 1 species